rnacentral:lncRNA from 1 species
GGGACUCUCGCUGCUGUGGUGUGUUUUGGUGCUGGUACAUAUUGUCAUACCUAAUCAAAAUUACAGGUGAUGGCUUCGUUUUGCUGUAUUCUCUUAUGGCAGUAGUUAUGUUUGCACAUGAAUGCAUGCAGAUUUUCUACAUGUAAUUAACUACAGUGGUGUUAUCUGUGCAUAUUGACAAUAGCUUUUUAUGUGCCAUUUUCAAAGAAGGCUGUCGUGUUUGUCGAUUCGGUCAUGGCUCUUAGUGUUUGUUGUUGUUGCUCGAUCUUCCCAUGGUAUGUAGUGCUACUCUGUUCUUCUUUCUGUGAAAGGAUAUGCUUUCUCCUUUAACAUACUGAAUGAAGUUUCAUGAAGAAAGAAUUGUUUUAUGUUACUUCCGAGGAACUGACAUUUUUGAUUCGUGCCAUGGUGAUUAACAGAGCAUCCAAUGGGAUAUUGCUUUUCUUCAGAAAGUAUUAUGGAUAUGAGGCCGCAAGCUUUCCGCAUGGCUCUCUGCCAAUUGUUUUGGCACAUCUUUGAAUUAAUUUCUUCAAUUUGGCGGGGCUAUUCAGACUUCGGAUUUUUUUUUGGUUUGAAUGUAAGUAAUAUCCCUCUUUGUGCAUGUGUGCUUCUAUGUCUUUCCGGCUUCUCUAUUCACUGCCUAUGGAAUGCUUAUAUAUAUUAGCCUGUAGUUUACUACUUUGAUCUCAGUUCAUAUUUUUGAUGCAUUUAUUUAAACUAAAAUAACUUGGAUAAUAAGCCUUUCCAUUUAAGUAUUGUCUGUAUUUCCUUUCAGAGCAAUUUAGCUCAUAAAGGAAAAAAAUGCUUCAUAGCCAUUCUUACAUUGUCUAUAGCCAAUACUCCUAUUUGAAGCUAUUGAAGAAUUUCCCAUUUUUCUCUAAUACGAAGUACCUUCUCUGACGUGCGGUUAGCAUAUAUAUGAUAUGGCUACAACAUAUAUAGUUUUCCUUCUAAGACUGCUGCAAAUAAUCUCAUGCUUGCUGUCAUCAUAUACACAUAGUAUAGAUGAAGUUGGAUGAUAAUUCUCUCGUAUCACUAUGUGGAGCCUGAGCCUCAUACUAAUCUCGCACGGUCAAGUUUAUUCCUGCAAUUUGAUGUUACGAUUUAUGCUAAUGUAAACAUGACCAAGCUAGAGGAGAGCUUUGGGUUUUUUUUCGUAUUUGUUCUGAUAGCAUAAUGUCUCCUAGGUUCGAUACUGUCUUCUCUCCAAUCUUGUUCCCUUCCCAGCUUCCACCCAUCUUCAUGAGCAAGUGUAGCUCCAUCCAUGACAAAGGUAUAGAUCAGAGAGGUCUGAGGAGGGACAGGGUUGGAAGCUAGGAAGGGAAGUAAACUUCCUGAGCUUCAGUUCUAGGUGAAAAGAGAGUGUUUUUAUUUUGUAUUUACGUAUUUUUUCUCCGACCAGAGAAUUGUUUUGUUGGACCAUACGACUGGAUUGAAGUUGCUAGCCUGAAUGCAAAUUUCCUUGAGAUGGUUCAUUACCAAAAUCCUUAAGAGAUGUUCGAAGGUGGGUCAGUGAGUGGUGAUGAUGUUCAUGAGAAUUCCCACACAUUGGUAAUUUUUAUAUGGAGGUGCAGAGUGCCACGAUCUCAAAUCUAGAGCAAUCUUGUGUCAGUGUUCACGUAUUGUGAUUAUCUAUGUGGCAUUGGGAUAGUAAGUUCCCCCGUCCAUACAAGGGCGCUAUUUACAAUAUGAGGGAACUUAUGAUUUAUAGGAGCUACAACUUAUGGUUUAUAAUGCUGCUCUUCCAUGGUUAUAUAUAAAAUAAAAGAAAUUAAGUCUUUCUUUUCGGUUUUCAUCACAGUUCCUUUUCAUGAUUCUGUAGCACUGGAAUGAUUAGUUUGUUCUUCAGUAACUUCUUCUUCAGUAUCAUAGUUAGUAAACAUAUGAGGUUUGGCAAGUUAGUAUUUACCAUUGAUGCUUGAAAUAAAUAGCAUGACUGGUGUUGCACCAUGUGUGUGUAGGUUUUUCCUUUUAGUUUACUUAUAUAUGCCUCUCCUAUAUUCUAAAACAAAUUCGAACUGUUAGUAUUUACCUUAAUCUCUUCCACAUGGAAGAUAGGAAAACUACAUACGGAAGGAUGAGUUCUAUAGCGUAUCAGAUUCAGGCAUUUGCACUAUUUUCUUGAUUACCUCACUAUGAUUAUUGUUGUAGACUUUUAGUAUAUUCCUCACAGGCGAACCCGUAUUUUCUUCAAAUCUAUAGCACACAUCUUUUUGCUAUAGUCAUUUCGCCAUGGAUGCAACAGUCUAGGAAAACAAGAUACCUGUAUGUUUUCAUUCAUUUGCCUUUUUAUGUGAGAAGUGUCUCCAUGGGAUUAGCGAGGUGUAUUUAUGCUUACCCCUUUUUAGUGUUUGGUGAAGCCGAUGGACUGUGAACAUUAUGUACCACAUAUUGUCGCCUUUUGCCUUUUUAUUACUUAUAAUAUGUCAUGACAAUUUAUUUUCCUGAGCCAUUUAGUCAAACUAGCCAGUCAAGGAUAGCCAAUGGUCUUUUGGCUAUUUGUUUGUUCAUUUCAUUCAACAUGCAUGUUUCUGGAGUAGUCUUGGCGCAAGACACAUAAUCAAAGUUGAUUUUCUUAUAAGCUGAUCAUCACAUAGCUAAUUGGUAGUUACACUAGUUGAGCUUGUCCUAUGCUCAUUGUACAGGAUAGAUAAAGUGUAUGUGAACUUCUUGAUGAGGAGAAGUCUUUUUAGAGAUUCCAAUACAAAUUACAUACGGAUGUAUAUAGACAUAUUUUAGAAUGUAGAUUCACCUAUUUUGUUCUGUAUGUAGUCCGCAUUGAAAUCUCUAAAAGGACUUAUAUUUAGGAACGGUGGGAGUGGGAUACGAUUAAGUAUUUAAAUUAACCAUAUGAGCACUAUUUCUUUGAGUCCCACAAGGAUGUCAUCUUUAUUCACAUGUUAUGUGUUAUGUCACAUCAACUUCUGCCCUUUUGUUUUCUGCAGAACACGACAACUGUUCAUCACCUAAAAGGAGAGAAUAACACCAAAGGAGUUAUGAUAGCAGCACUUAUAGGCAUCGAGGAAUUGGCAAAGAGAUUACGCUUCAUAGGUAUGAAGUUAGAACAACGGCUGGAAACUAUGAAAGGCCGUUUCUAAUUACCUUUGUUGGAUCUGUCUUACCUACAAUGCAUGUGUGACCCCUGGAGAAGCCACUUUUUGUUUCGUCUGCAGUAUACUCCAUGUUUAGUUCCAGUGAUGCCCUAACCCUUUUGUUCCUGCUCUGAAGAAUCAGACAUGUAUAGGCUUCAGAUUUUUGUAAUCAUCUAUGUGCUAAACAUCCCUUUGUGGUCAUGUGUUUUAUAUGUAAUCAAGUAUCUAUCCAUGAUGAUAUAUAUGCCCAGCUAAUGUUUGAAAAGAUCCAUCAUCUGUAUCACCACUGCUGGAUAACCGCUAUAAAUCUAC